rnacentral:rRNA from 1 species
AUUGAACGCUGGCAGCAGGCCUAACACAUGCAAGUCGAGCGGAUGAAGAGAGCUUGCUCUCUGAUUCAGCGGCGGACGGGUGAGUAAUGCCUAGGAAUCUGCCUGGUAGUGGGGGACAACGUUUCGAAAGGAACGCUAAUACCGCAUACGUCCUACGGGAGAAAGCAGGGGACCUUCGGGCCUUGCGCUAUCAGAUGAGCCUAGGUCGGAUUAGCUAGUUGGUGAGGUAAUGGCUCACCAAGGCGACGAUCCGUAACUGGUCUGAGAGGAUGAUCAGUCACACUGGAACUGAGACACGGUCCAGACUCCUACGGGAGGCAGCAGUGGGGAAUAUUGGACAAUGGGCGAAAGCCUGAUCCAGCCAUGCCGCGUGUGUGAAGAAGGUCUUCGGAUUGUAAAGCACUUUAAGUUGGGAGGAAGGGUUGUAGAUUAAUACUCUGCAAUUUUGACGUUACCGACAGAAUAAGCACCGGCU